GACUAGAUAGCUCAGUGGUUAGAGCAUCUGGAAUAUAUCCAAGGGGUCCUGGGUUCAAACCCAAGUCUGGUCA